rnacentral:tRNA from 1 species
AUCUACGUAGUUUAAUAAAAACCUAUCAUUUUCAAUGAUAAAUUAGGGUAUAAACCCUCGUAAAUA